rnacentral:snRNA from 1 species
AUUGCUUCUCGGCCUUUUGGCUAAGAUCAAGUGUAAAAUUUGUUAUUCUUGGGCAAGUUUUCUUAAGAGUAUUACAUUUUUAAAAUAUUUUUUAUUAAUAUUU